rnacentral:rRNA from 1 species
UACGGGGGGGGCAAGCGUUGUUCGGAAUUACUGGGCGUAAAGGGCUCGUAGGCGGCCAACUAAGUCAGACGUGAAAUCCCUCGGCUUAACCGGGGAACCGCAUCUGAUACUGGAUGGCUUGAGUUCGGGAGAGGGAUGCGGAAUUCCAGGUGUAGCGGUGAAAUGCGUAGAUAUCUGGAGGAACACCGGUGGCGAAGGCGGCAUCCUGGACCGACACUGACGCUGAGGAGCGAAAGCCAGGGGAGCAAACGGG